GGAGGAAAGCAGGGGAUCGCAAGACCUUGCGCUUUUGGAGCGGCCGAUGCCUGAUUAGCUUGUUGGUAAGGUAAAAGCUUACGAAGGCUUCGAUCAGUAGCUGGUCUGAGAGGACGGCCAGCCACACUGGGACUGAGACACGGCCCAGACUCCUACGGGAGGCAGCAGUGGGGAAUUUUGGACAAUGGGGGCAACCCUGAUCCAGCCAUGCCGCGUGAGUGAAGAAGGCCUUCGGGUUGUAAAGCUCUUUCAGCCGGAACGAAACGGUUACGGUUAAUACCCGUGACUAAUGACGGUACCGGAAGAAGAAGCACCGGCUAACUACGUGCCAGCAGCCGCGGUAAUACGUAGGGUGCGAGCGUUAAUCGGAAUUACUGGGCGUAAAGCGUGCGCAGGUGGUUUUGUAAGUCAGAUGUGAAAUCCCCGGGCUCAACCUGGGAACUGCGUUUGAAACUACAAAGCUAG
rnacentral:rRNA from 1 species